UACGAAGGGGCUAGCGUUGCUCGGAAUCACUGGGCGUAAAGGGUGCGUAGGCGGGUCGUUUAAGUCAGGGGUGAAAUCCUGGAGCUCAACUCCAGAACUGCCUUUGAUACUGAGGAUCUUGAGUUCGGGAGAGGUGAGUGGAACUUGCGAGUGUAGAGGUGAAAUUCGUAGAUAUUCGCAAGAACACCAGUGGCGAAGGCGCUCACUGGCCCGAUACUGACGCUGAGGAGCGAAAGCGUGGGGACA
rnacentral:rRNA from 1 species